AGUGAACGCUGGCGGCGUGCCUAAUACAUGCAAGUCGAACGGAGUGGCGCACGGGUGAGUAAUGUAUAGCUAGUCUGCCCUGCACUAGAGGACAACAGUUGGAAACGACUGCUAAUACUCUAUAGUGUAGGAUGAGGCUAUAUUGUAUCAGCUAGUUGGUGAGGUAAUGGCUCACCAAGGCUAUGACGCAUAACUAGGCUGAGAGGAGGAUCAGUCAAACUGGAAAUGAGACAAGGGUCCGACUUCUUCGGGAAGCAGCAGGAGGGAAUAAUGCUCCAUGGGGGAAACCCUUAAGCAGGAGCGGCGGGUGGAGGAUGACAGUUUUUGGAGCGUAAACUCCUUUUGUUAGGGAAGCGGUACCUAACGAAUAAGCACCGGCUAACUCCGUGCCAGCAGCCGCGGUAAUUC
rnacentral:rRNA from 1 species